rnacentral:rRNA from 1 species
UACGGGGGGGGCAAGCGUUGUUCGGGAUUACUGGGCGUAAAGGGCUCGUAGGCGGCCAACUAAGUCAUACGUGAAAUCCCUCGGCUUAACCGGGGAACUGCGUCUGAUACUGGAUGGCUUGAGUUCGGGAGAGGGAUGCGGAAUUCCAGGUGUAGCGGUGAAAUGCGCAGAUAUCAGGAGGAACACCAAUAGCGAAGGCAGCUCGCUGGGACGGUAUUGACGCUAAGGCGCGAAAGCGUGGGGAGCAAACAGG